rnacentral:ncRNA from 1 species
UAAAAUUAUUAAUUUUAUAAAGUAUGUACAUGUAAGUUUUUGCUUAUUUUUAAAAAUGGAUUUAUUUUUUGCAGUAUUUAAUAUUGAAUAUAAAUUUAAUUUUGAAUUGGAUAUUUUUUUUAAUUCUGUAUAAUUUUGUGCCAGCAUACGCGGUUAUACAAAAAGUGUAAAUUAAUAAAUUUGGUUUUUAUGAAGUUAAAUUGUUUUUUUGAGUUUAAUAUUAUAUGUUUUUAAGUGAAAUUUAAAUAUUAAUUAAUUUUGUUUUGAUUCUUCGAAAUAUAUAAUUUAAACUAGGAUUAGAUACCCUAUUAUUAUAUAUGUUAAAUUUUGCUAGGAUAUUAUUAGAUAUGUUCUUUAAACCUAAAAAACUUGGCGGUGUUUUAGUCUAUUUAGAGGAAUUUGUACCUUUAUCGAUAAUCCUCGUUUUAUCUUGCUUUAUUUUGUUUAUCAGUAUGUAUACCGCCGUUAUAAGUUUAUUUUAUUAGAAUUAAAAUUUACUUUAUCUUUAAUUAGAUAUUAUUUCAGGUCAAGGUGCAGUUAAUAAUAAAGUGGUUAUGAAUUACAAUAUUAUUUGAAUAAAUGGAUUUAGAAUUUAAAAUUUUAAUAAAGGUGGAUUUAAUUGUAAUUUUAUUUAUAAUAUUAUUUUGAUUUUAGCUCUAAAAUAAGUACAUAUCGCCCGUCGCUCUCAUUUUAUUUGAGAUAAGUCGUAACAAAGUAGAUGUACUGGAAAGUGUAUCUAGAAAGAU